rnacentral:rRNA from 1 species
CAGUAGCCGCGGUAAUAUGAAGGGUGCAAGCGUUAAUCGGAAUUACUGGGCGUAAAGCGUGUAUAGGUGGUUGUUUAAGUCUGUCGUGAAAGCCCUGGGCUCAACCUGGGAAUUGCGAUGGAUACUGGGCGACUAGAGUGCGGUAGAGGAUAGUGGAAUUUCCGGUGUAGCAGUGAAAUGCGUAGAGAUCGGAAGGAACAUCUGUGGCGAAGGCGACUAUCUGGGCCAACACUGACACUGAGACACGAAAGCGUGGGGAGCAAACAGGAUUAGAUACCCGCGUAGUCCCUGUCUCUUAUAA